rnacentral:rRNA from 2 species
AUACCGGCAGCUCAAGUGAUGACCAAUUUUAUUGGGCCUAAAGCGUCCGUAGCCGGCCAGACAGGUCCGUCGGGAAAUCUGCUCGCUUAACGAGCAGGCGUCCGGCGGAAACCCGCUGGCUUGGGGCCGGAAGAUCCAAGGGGUACGUCUGGGGUAGGAGUGAAAUCCUGUAAUCCUAGACGGACCGCCGAUCGCGAAAGCACCUUGGAAGGACGGACCCGACGGUGAGGGACGAAAGCUAGGGUCACGAACCGGAUUAGAUACCCGGGUAGUCCUAGCUGUAAACGAUGCUCGCUAGGUAUGGCACAGGCUACGAGCCUGUGCUGUGCCACAGUGAAGACGCAAGCGAGCCGCCUGGGAAGUACGUCCGCAAGGAUGAA